rnacentral:rRNA from 1 species
GACGAACGCUGGCGGCGUGCUUAACACAUGCAAGUCGAACGGAAAGGCCCUGCUUUUGUUGGGUGCUCGAGUGGCGAACGUGUGAGUAACACGUGAGUAACCUGCCCUUGACUUUGGGAUAACUUCAGGAAACUGGGGCUAAUACCGGAUAUGAGCUCCUGCUGCAUGGUGGGGGUUGGAAAGUUUCGGCGGUUGGGGAUGGACUCGCGGCUUAUCAGCUUGUUGGUGGGGUAGUGGCUUACCAAGGCUUUGACGGGUAGCCGGCCUGGGAGGGUGACCGGAGACACUGGGACUGCGCUACGGGCCAGAAUCAUACGGGAGGAAGCAGUGGGGAAUAUUGCACAAUGGGAGGAAGGCUGAUGCAGCAACGCCGCGUGCGGGAUGACGGCCUUCGGGUGGUAGACAGCAUUCGCCUGUGACGAAGCGUGAGUGACGGUAAUGGGUAAAGAAGCACCGGCUAACUACGUG